rnacentral:lncRNA from 1 species
AAUGCAAAUAAACUACAAAGAUUACUCUUGCUACACAAAGGACACCUGCACACACUUUACUUACUACUUACCAAAUCAACACACUCAGAACCUAGGAUGACUUUGAAACGAUUAUGCUUAACACAUGCAAACAAACUCUCGAAAAACAACUUCCAUCUAUCGAAACAAACUACAACAAAGAUACAACAUUAUGAUACUUUUGACACUUGAUCGAUUGAGGUGAAGUGACACAGACGAAACACUCAUCACAAACAGGCAAACUACACCACAAGAUACUGACCCUUGACCUUCUUCUUAACACUAACUCAAAGUGCU